rnacentral:rRNA from 1 species
UACGUAGGGGGCUAGCGUUGUCCGGAAUCAUUGGGCGUAAAGAGCGUGUAGGCGGCUCGGUAAGUCCGCUGUGAAAGUCGGGGGCUCAACCCUCGAAUGCCGGUGGAUACUGCCGGGCUAGAGUCCGGAAGAGGCGAGUGGAACUCCUGGUGUAGCGGUGGAAUGCGCAGAUAUCAGGAAGAACACCAACGGCGAAGGCAGCUCGCUGGGACGGUACUGACGCUGAGACGCGAAAGCGUGGGGAGCGAACAGG